rnacentral:misc_RNA from 1 species
UCUCCGUUGGUGAACCAGCGGAGGGAUCAUUACCGAGUGCAAACUCAUAACCCUUUGUGAACCUAUAUCUGUUGCUUCGGCGGCUCGCUCUCGGGCGAGCCCGCCGGUAAUAUCAGUAUCUCUGUUUGAACCCGACGAUACUUCCGAGUGUUCUUAGCGAACAGUUAAAACUUUUAACAACGGAUCUCUUGGCUCUA